GUGGGGAAUCUUGCGCAAUGGGCGAAAGCCUGACGCAGCCAUGCCGCGUGGAUGAUGAAGGUCUUAGGAUUGUAAAAUCCUUUCAGCGGGGACGAUAAUGACGGUACCCGCAGAAGAAGCCCCGGCUAACUUCGUGCCAGCAGCCGCGGUAAUACGAAGGGGGCUAGCGUUGCUCGGAUUUACUGGGCGUAAAGGGCGCGUAGGCGGACAGUUAAGUUGGGGGUGAAAGCCCGGGGCUCAACCUCGGAAUUGCCUUCAAUACUGGCUGUCUUGAGUGUGAGAGAGGUGUGUGGAACUCCGAGUGUAGAGGUGAAAUUCGUAGAUAUUCGGAAGAACACCAGUGGCGAAGGCGACACACUGGCUCACUACUGACGCUGAGGCGCGAAAGCGUGGGGAGCAAACAGGAUUAGAAACCCGAGUAGUCC
rnacentral:rRNA from 1 species